GUACGGGAGGCAGCAGGUGGGGAAUAUUGCACAAUGGGCGCAAGCCUGAUGCAGCCAUGCCGCGUGUAUGAAGAAGGCCUUCGGGUUGUAAAGUACUUUCAGUCGUGAGGAAGGUGUUAAGGUUAAUAACCUUAGCAAUUGACGUUAGCGACAGAAGAAGCACCGGCUAACUCCGUGCCAGCAGCCGCGGUAAUACGGAGGGUGCGAGCGUUAAUCGGAAUUACUGGGCGUAAAGGGCACGCAGGCGGUUAAUUAAGUUGGAUGUGAAAUCCCCGGGCUUAACCUGGGAAUGGCAUUCAAGACUGGUUAGCUAGAGUCUUGUAGAGGGGGUAGGAAUUCCAUGUGUAGCGGUGAAAUGCGUAGAGAUGUGGAGGAAUACCGGUGGCGAAAGGCGGGCCCCCUGGACAAAAGGACUGACGCUCAUGUGCGAAAGCGUGGGGAGGCAAACAGGGAUUAGAUACC
rnacentral:rRNA from 1 species